AUUAUAGUGCUACUUAUGAGGGCUGUUAUCAACUUUUUUCUCCAGAUAAGCGAAGAUGCUAAAUUAGGGAUCUAUGUUGAAAAUCUCACAGAGUGUUUACGUACAAUGUCAGAUGUAAAGCAGCUUUUAAUGAAGCACUCUGACCAGCAUUCACCAAAAGUACGCCAUCUACUUCUUAGCAGGAGAGGAUUGGUGGGAUUGCUGGUAUCGAAUUUGAGUUGGUACUUUUCAAGUUGAGUGAGAAAAGUGUGGUGAGG